GGCGGCGGCGGCGGCGGCGGCGGCGGCGGGGACUUGCAGUGCUUGGGCUGCACUGUACCAGAGCACCUCUGCCCAGGGUGUGCACCUUGAGACGUUCCAAGGCCCCUGCAGGCUUGAUUUCAGUUCGGAGGUCCACAGCUGCAGGAAAAGAAACCCAGCAAGCCCCUGGAUGAGGAGCCUUCAUUGAUGUCCACUUGGCUGACAGAUGCCCUCCAGGAAUCAACUGUGGACUACAAACUGCUCCAAAAAUGGCUCUGAGCUCUGGACUCAAGGAAAGCUGAUGUGAACCAGGCCAGCUGAUGUGCUUGCUCCCUGUCUCUUCAGCUGGGUCAUCUAACUGGAUGCCUCUGAUGCAUGUCCCAUCGCCGGAAUCCCUCCCUGCCUUUGACUAACAUUCCAGCCUUCCUAGGCCCUGGCAACAUCCUUGUUUCAGCAGGAAGUAGUUACAGAAGAGAAUUCAUCGCCCCUUUGCCCCCAACAGGCUGGAAUGUUAGAUCAAAAGGACAUUCACUGGCGUGGGGGACAAAAUGGCUACCUAUACUGCCUAUUGGCAUACUAGGAAAGGUACCUGUUAAACUUAGAGACCCAGAUCUAUGAACAGGUAGAUUCAUUAACUGAAAUAGUUCUACAGAGUGAUGGGGCAUGGGAUCUGUUUUGUAGA
rnacentral:lncRNA from 1 species